rnacentral:rRNA from 1 species
UACAGAGGGUGCAAACGUUGUUCGGAAUUACUGGGCGUAAAGCGCGUGUAGGCGGCAUGGCAAGUCGGGUGUGAAAGCCCCGGGCUCAACCCGGGAAGUGCAUUCGAUACUGCUGCGCUCGAGUCUCGGAGAGGAUGGUGGAACUCUCGGUGUAGAGGUGAAAUUCGUAGAUAUCGAGAAGAACACCGGUGGCGAAGGCGGCCAUCUGGACGAAGACUGACGCUGAGACGCGAAAGCGUGGGGAGCAAACAGG